UUGUACAGGCAAAUCCGUAUAACAAUACUCCGAGAACUGAAAGGCUUUUUGAAGUCUUCGGAUGGAUAGAAGAACCCCUGAUGCCGUCGAGCCAAGAAAAGUUUCUAAGUUUAGCUAAUGUUGCCCGUACCGUAAACCGACACAGGUGGGUGGGAUGAGUAUUCUAAGGCGCGUGGAAGAACUCUCUUUAAGGAACUCUGCAAAAUAGCACCGUAUCUUCGGUAUAAGGUGUGGUUAGCUUUGUAUUAGGAUUUACUCCGAAAGCAAGGAAACUUACAACAAAGAGUCCCUCCCGACUGUUUACCAAAAACACAGCACUCUGCUAACUCGUAAGAGGAUGUAUAGGGUGUGACGCCUGCCCGGUGCUCGAAGGUUAAUUGAUGGGGUUAGCAUUAGCGAAGCUCUUGAUCGAAGCCCGAGUAAACGGCGGCCGUAACUAUAACGGUCCUAAGGUAGCGAAAUUCCUUGUCGGUUAAAUACCGACCUGCAUGAAUGGCGUAACGAGAUGGGAGCUGUCUCAAAGAGGGAUCCAGUGAAAUUGUAGUGGAGGUGAAAAUUCCUCCUACCCGCGGCAAGACGGAAAGACCCCGUGGACCUUUACUACAGCUUGACACUGCUACUUGGAUAAGAAUGUGCAGGAUAGGUGGGAGGCUUUGAGUAUAUGACGCCAGUUGUAUAUGAGCCAUUGUUGAGAUACCACUCUUUCUUAUUUGGGUAGCUAACCAGCUUGAGUUAUCCUCAAGUGGGACAAUGUCUGGUGGGUAGUUUGACUGGGGCGGUCGCCUCCCAAAUAAUAACGGAGGCUUACAAAGGUUGGCUCAGAACGGUUGGAAAUCGUUCGUAGAGUAUAAAGGUAUAAGCCAGCUUAACUGCAAGACAUACAAGUCAAGCAGAGACGAAAGUCGGUCUUAGUGAUCCGGUGGUUCUGUGUGGAAGGGCCAUCGCUCAAAGGAUAAAAGGUACCCCGGGGAUAACAGGCUGAUCUCCCCCAAGAGCUCACAUCGACGGGGAGGUUUGGCACCUCGAUGUCGGCUCAUCGCAUCCUGGGGCUGGAGCAGGUCCCAAGGGUAUGGCUGUUCGCCAUUUAAAGCGGUACGCGAGCUGGGUUCAGAACGUCGUGAGACAGUUCGGUCCCUAUCUGCCGUGGGCGUAAGAAGAUUGAAGAGAUUUGACCCUAGUACGAGAGGACCGGGUUGAACAAACCACUGGUGUAGCUGUUGUUCUGCCAAGAGCAUCGCAGCGUAGCUAAGUUUGGAAAGGAUAAACGCUGAAAGCAUCUAAGCGUGAAGCCAACUCUAAGAUGAAUCUUCUCUAAGCUCUCUAGAAGACUACUAGUUUGAUAGGCUGGGUGUGUAAUGGAUGAAAGUCCUUUAGCUGACCAGUACUAAUAGAGCGUUUGGCUUAUCUUUAAUAAAGCAU
rnacentral:rRNA from 1 species